CGAGGUGAGGAGGUACGACGCUUAUCUUUCUAGUCAACAGCGGUACCGGUGCCUCUUCAUCACCCUCGAUUCCGUGAAUAGGGAGUCGACCCACCUCUGUCAUCACCACUAACAGCACACACCUCCGCAGAGGGUAUAGCUUUAAGCAAGUACACACACACACACACACACACAAUUACCACACGCAGUGCUCCAUCGUACGUUGUCUCCAUUUUUUCAGUUUAUUUUUUUGUUGACGUGCUCAACAGCGUCGUCGGCUCUGCUCGUGUCUUUUCUCUUUCCUGUCAAGCCUUUCUGUGCGCCGUCUCGUUCUGUUUUCCCUUUCUCCCUCUGUCUCUAUCCACCACUCUCCCCAAAAAGCGCUCCGAGGCACUGGCAGGUAUCGUGUGUGUCUCCCCGUCUUAGGCGAAACUUGCGUGUGCGUAUCACCAACCAGCGCACCACUUAUUAGCGUGUGUGGCGCCGGAUGUCUCGUAUCUUCUACAGAGGCAGAGCACGAAGCAGAAUAGAGAACGGCAGAGAGAGAAAAAAGAGGGGGAGGGGCAGUUGCUGUCUUCACAGUGUAUAUGCUGUUCUAACGCGCAGACGUGUGCACACACGAACACAAAAAGGCGCACACCUACGUAAUCACCGUGCUGAGGUUGCAGCAGCGAGUCACAGUUGUUUCCUUUGCAGUGUUAGCUGUUGGGCCCCACCACACGACCCACCCACGCAUACAAUCAAACGCUUCGAUAGCACACUGCCGUUCCUUUUCUGAACUCCCUCGGCUCAUCCGUUGGGGAGGACUGCGCAGUAGGACAGAGACCCCACACCUUAGUCGCGCAAGUAGAUUGCCCUCGCGGCGCUAUGUCUGUAUCCGCGUCCUCCUCGAGGGCCGCCGCUGCGUCGUCUGGAACCCUCGAUGCCACGGCUACCCCACACACCACCGACGCUGCGAAGGAGACGUUCAAGCUUCUGGUGUGGCGUCUCGUUCUGGUUGACACAGCCGAAGACAGCUCGCAGUGGUCUUCGCGGGCGAAGCAGCAGUGGGGCGGCGGCAAGCCCCUCUUCGUGUCCGUUAGUAACAAAUUCAAGGAGCAUGGCAGCACCUCGUCGCAGAAGCUGGUGUUUGGUAAUCCACAGCAGUCGCAGCAGCAGUCGUGGAGCGGGAUCGAAUGGCGAGAGAGCAAUAUUAUACCAGUGCCGCUGGAUGAUGAUCCUGUGCUGAUGAUCGAGGUUGGCGUGCUCCGGCAUGGCAAGAAAAAUGUGCUGGGGCUUGGUAUAAUCAACACGCAGUCGAUGCUGGCGGAGAACCGCCAGUACACCAAGUUCACCGUUCAUGUGCUGCCGACUCACACUUCGAUUGACGCCUUCACAGUGCACGCGGUGGCAGAGGUGGAGAUCCACAGCAGCCUGCUCCACGAGUCACCCGAUCUCAACUUCACCCCGCUAGAGUACAACUACGGGACCGUGCGAGUAUCCACUGUGGACUUUUACUACCCGUCUUUCUUUCUCACGGGGACGGGUGAGUAUAUUGUCUCCAACGUGCUGUGCGCGAUGAACAUGACAGAGUUCAGCUCCCUGGCUAUGCAGCUGGUUCCGUUGCACUCGGCUGCCAGCUACAUUGCCACGGAGCCGUCUCAGGUGAUUACGGUGCGGCCGCAGCAGCGCGUGUACUUUAGUGCUACCUGGAAUCUGACUAACCGAGCCUGCAUGAAGACGCUGGAAAUGCAACUCAGGGUGAACGGCUCACAGAAGCCGUCGGCACCAGUUCUGAUAAAGGUUCACAAUCAGGUCCCACAGACGUCAGGCAACACAGACCUGCCCUUCCACUACUGGGUGAACACCACCUGCAUCACAAAUCGACAAAUGCUGCCGUCGCAGGAGUUACCCCUCAUCCAUGCCGUUCUUCCAGUGUACCGCUUUAUUAGUCGCAGCGCCCCCAUCAACCAAACAGAGGGCAUGAUCGUGGCGUUCGACAAAGACAAGGGCGAGCAUGUGCUGGUGCGAGCGAAUGGCGUGCCAGUGACAAUGGGCAAGCUUUACGGAACUGGCCAUCAUCAGCAACGACAAUCGCCGCAGCGCCUGUCUUUGCAGAAAGCAGGCAUCAGUGCCUCCGCGCUGAGCAGAGUGGAAAGUAUGGACCUCAACGCUGUCAGCGACUUGACAUCUCCGUUCGGCUUUGACACGAACGCUUCCUUCGUUGUGCGCGAUAGCCGCGUCAGAAACCCAUUCCCGUCGCGCGGGCCGCUGCUGAAUCUCUCACAGAAGACGUGUUUGUGCACCAUUGCUCUUGGGCUGAUUCGCGGGUUUCCCAUGGUGUACGAGGCCACCACCGGCCUGUCUCCAUCCUUCCAAGUGAGUGUGACGCUGCUGGAUCAGCGCGGGUGGCAGAUUGUGCAUGGUGAAACUCUCCCCAGCUACCAUAGCGCCAGCGGCAGCCUGCGAUGGGCGGAGCAGCUGGUCCUGCGGAAGUGGCCAGGAGCGACGUCGCAGCAAUUUGUUCGCCUCAAUCUGACCGAGGUGCGGCCCCGCGACGGGGACGAGACGCCGAUCGGCGCUGGUCUCAUCUCCCUCCCCAGCAUGCAGCGCCUAUACACACAGAACCCGCUGAGCGUCGCCUUCUAUGUGUACGAGACGUACUCCUUGUACGAUCAGCUGAACUCGUCAUCCCUGUUAAUGAAAGACGUCAACGUGAUGUUCUCGGAGCUGCGCUGACAAUAGAGACGUGCCUCUGCGCCGUGACGUCGUAUUGCUUUCUUCCUCGCUCUUCGUUUUGUUUGCCCGAGAUGGUCCACUGUGACACCCCGAC
rnacentral:misc_RNA from 1 species